AACGAACGCUGGCGGCAGGCCUAACACAUGCAAGUCGAGCGAGGUAGCAAUACCUAGCGGCGGACGGGUGAGUAACGCGUGGGAACGUGCCCUUUGCUACGGAAUAGCCCUGGGAAACUGGGAGUAAUACCGUAUGUGCCCUUUGGGGGAAAGAUUUAUCGGCAAAGGAUCAGCCCGCGUUGGAUUAGGUAGUUGGUGGGGUAAUGGCCUACCAAGCCGACGAUCCAUAGCUGGUUUGAGAGGAUGAUCAGCCACACUGGGACUGAGACACGGCCCAGACUCCUACGGGAGGCAGCAGUGGGGAAUCUUAGACAAUGGGCGCAAGCCUGAUCUAGCCAUGCCGCGUGAGCGAUGAAGGCCUUAGGGUUGUAAAGCUCUUUCGUGGGGGAAGAUAAUGACUGCACCCCAAGAAGAAGCCCCGGCUAACUCCGUGCCAGCCGCCGCGGUAA
rnacentral:rRNA from 1 species